GGAAGACUCUAGGGACUGAAUUAACUUCAUAACCCAAUAUCCUAAAUUUGUUAUUCUGACCUACAGUAAAAAGUGUCUUAACUUUUACAGUGUGCAAAUACACACACACAAGCAAGCACACACACACAUUUGUGUGUGUACAUAUACACACAUACCUACAUACACACACACACAUCCCUACAUCCACACACCACAUACACAUACAUACACGUACACACAGACAUGCACACGUUGAAUACAUCCAGAAACACAUAUGCAUGCUUGUAUAUUGCCACACCCUCACACAGAUGUGUUCUAUAGACUAAACUUGCUCACUUUUAAAUCAACUGCUAUGUGGAAAGAAGAGAGAAUCCUAAUACAGCUAUCAAUUUUUUUCCCAGAAACACAAAGUCAGUGUUUUUCCAAGUUGCCUGAUAAGAAUCUCCUGGGGAUUGAGUCAUCUUCUGUAGACAAGGGUCCAGAGGGGAACCUUUCUGAGAACAGGAAUGCAGUGUUUCUUGAAGGAGGUCUGCUUCACCAUCAGACGUUGAGGCAGAAGCAUGCUGUUUGGAAGAAAAAAGAGAAUAUCCUUCGAAUUGCCUUUUCACACAAGUAAUUGCUUACUAAAAGGGUGAGCCACAUCCAAGCCAGACCCUACAUACAUAUAAAGUUCAGACACAAGGUAGGUAUGUUCAGGAAAGGGAACCCAGGGGUCUGAACCUUCUUGGGUGCUGUCAAAGGCAUCUGGCUGACGUAAGUUGAUUGCUUGCUUUAAGACCUAUACUACAUGUUUUGCAAGUAUAAUUCUUUUUAUUAUUUCUUUUAGGGGUAAAAAAAAUGUAUACACAUAAAAUUAAAAGUUAACAUAUUUUUAGUGGUUUUUGCCAACUGUCAUUUGGGGGAGGGGUGUCACAUUUGGUUCUUUAAAUUAUGUAUUUUUAAAAUGGUCAUAAGUAAUUUGAACAAGAAAAAGGAAGGAAGGAGGAAGAAAAAAGAAAGCUAAUGUGGAAAAUCAAAAGCUAUCACCAUUGGGUAAAUAAAUAAAAGCCAGUCUAGGACCUUCA
rnacentral:lncRNA from 1 species